rnacentral:rRNA from 1 species
CAGUAGCCACGGUAAUACGUAGGUGGCAAGCGUUGUCCGGAAUUAUUGGGCGUAAAGCGCGCGCAGGUGGUUUAAUAAGUCUGAUGUGAAAGCCCACGGCUCAACCGUGGAGGGUCAUUGGAAACUGUUAAACUUGAGUGCAGGAGAGAAAAGUGGAAUUCCUAGUGUAGCGGUGAAAUGCGUAGAGAUUAGGAGGAACACCAGUGGCGAAGGCGGCUUUUUGGCCUGUAACUGACACUGAGGCGCGAAAGCGUGGGGAGCAAACAGGAUUAGAUACCCCAGUAGUCCCUGUCUCUUAUAU